rnacentral:rRNA from 1 species
AUUGAACGCUGGCGGCAUGCCUUACACAUGCAAGUCGAACGGCAGCACGGGUGCUUGCCCCUGGUGGCGAGUGGCGAACGGGUGAGUAAUACAUCGGAACAUGUCCUGUAGUGGGGGAUAGCCCGGCGAAAGCCGGAUUAAUACCGCAUACGAUCUACGGAUGAAAGCGGGGGACCUUCGGGCCUCGCGCUAUAGGGUUGGCCGAUGGCUGAUUAGCUAGUUGGUGGGGUAAAGGCCUACCAAGGCGACGAUCAGUAGCUGGUCUGAGAGGACGACCAGCCACACUGGGACUGAGACACGGCCCAGACUCCUACGGGAGGCAGCAGUGGGGAAUUUUGGACAAUGGGCGAAAGCCUGAUCCAGCAAUGCCUCGUGUGUGAAGAAGGCCUUCGGGUUGUAAAGCACUUUUGUCCGGAAAGAAAUCCUUGGCCCUAAUACGGUCGGGGGAUGACGGUACCGGAAGAAUAAGCACCGGCUAACUACGUG